CCAGACUCCUACGGGAGGCAGCAGUGGGGAAUAUUGCACAAUGGGGGGAACCCUGAUGCAGCGACGCCGCGUGGGUGAAGGAGCAACUCGGUGCGUAAAGCCCUAUCGGCAGGGAAGAAACAGACGGUACCUGACUAAGAAGCCCCGGCUAACUACGUGCCAGCAGCCGCGGUAAUACGUAGGGGGCAAGCGUUAUCCGGAUUCACUGGGUGUAAAGGGAGCGUAGACGGCGACGCAAGUCUGGAGUGAAAGCCCGGGGCCCAACCCCGGGACUGCUCUUGGAACUGCAUGGCUGGAGUACAGGAGGGGCAGGCGGAAUUCCUAGUGUAGCGGUGAAAUGCGUAGAUAUUAGGAGGAACACCGGUGGCGAAGGCGGCCUGCUGGACUGUGACUGACGUUGAGGCCCGAAGGCGUGGGGGGCAAACAGGAUUAGAUACCCCUGUA
rnacentral:rRNA from 1 species